rnacentral:rRNA from 1 species
AGUGAACGCUGGCGGUAGGCCUAACACAUGCAAGUCGAACGGCAGCACAGUAAGAGCUUGCUCUUACGGGUGGCGAGUGGCGGACGGGUGAGGAAUACAUCGGAAUCUACUUUUUCGUGGGGGAUAACGUAGGGAAACUUACGCUAAUACCGCAUACGACCUACGGGUGAAAGCAGGGGAUCUUCGGACCUUGCGCGAUUGAAUGAGCCGAUGUCGGAUUAGCUAGUUGGCGGGGUAAAGGCCUACCAAGGCGACGAUCCGUAGCUGGUCUGAGAGGAUGAUCAGCCACACUGGAACUGAGACACGGUCCAGACUCCUACGGGAGGCAGCAGUGGGGAAUAUUGGACAAUGGGCGCAAGCCUGAUCCAGCCAUACCGCGUGGGUGAAGAAGGCCUUCGGGUUGUAAAGCCCUUUUGUUGGGAAAGAAAAGCAGCAGGUUAAUACCCCGCUGUUCUGACGGUACCCAAAGAAUGAGCACCGGCUAACUUCGUG